rnacentral:rRNA from 1 species
UACGGGGGGAGCAAGCGUUGUUCGGAUUUACUGGGCGUAAAGGGCGCGUAGGCGGUCAGCACAAGUCAGUUGUGAAAUCUCCGGGCUUAUCUCGGAAAGGUCAACUGAUACUGUGCGACUAGAGUGCGGAAGGGGCAACUGGAAUUCUUGGUGUAGCGGUGAAAUGCGUAGAGAUCAGGAAGAACAUCGGUGGCGAAGGCGCUCUGCUGGACCAUAACUGACACUCAGGGACGAAAGCUAGGGGAGCGAAUGGG